GUGCUUAACACAUGCAAGUCGAACGGGAACCUUUAUUUCGGUAAAGGUGAGAGUGGCAAACGGGUGAGUAACACGUAGGCAACCUGCCGACAGGAUGGGGACAACAUUCCGAAAGGAAUGCUAAUACCGAAUGGAGUCCGAGGAUGGCAUCAUCCUCGGAUCAAAGAUGGCCUCUGAAUAUGCUAUCGCCUGUCGAUGGGCCUGCGUCUGAUUAGCCAGUUGGCGGGGUAACGGCCCACCAAAGCGACGAUCAGUAGCCGGUCUGAGAGGAUGAACGGCCACAUUGGGACUGAGACACGGCCCAGACUCCUACGGGAGGCAGCAGUGGGGAAUCUUCCACAAUGGGCGAAAGCCUGAUGGAGCAACGCCGCGUGAGUGAAGAAGGUCUUCGGAUCGUAAAGCUCUGUUGCACGGGACGAAAACCGGGUUU
rnacentral:rRNA from 1 species